rnacentral:rRNA from 1 species
UACGAAGGGGGCUAGCGUUGCUCGGAAUUACUGGGCGUAAAGGGCGCGUAGGCGGCUUUGUUAGUCAGGCGUGAAAAUCCUGGGCUCAACCUGGGGACUGCGCUUGAUACGGCAGGGCUAGAGGACGGAAGAGGCUCGCGGAAUUCCCAGUGUAGAGGUGAAAUUCGUAGAUAUUGGGAAGAACACCGGUGGCGAAGGCGGCGAGCUGGUCCGUUACUGACGCUGAGGCGCGACAGCGUGGGGAG